rnacentral:rRNA from 1 species
AUGUUUCCUCAAGCCUUCUUCUUCCUGUGCAAAUCCUCUCGCCUAUCGUUCGUCGUCACCGGACAGUGUGCUACAGCAACCGCUGCUACCCUUCCCAAUCACUGCGCUGCAAGCUCCACAGAAAAAAUGGUGCACACCGAAGCCUCCCUUCCCGUGCCUUGUCAUAGGCGGCCGGCGCGAGCUCGCCAUGGCCUCAUGCCCUCAUCUCCUUGCUUCAUCCUGUCGCUUCAUCCCGCCAUGGCUCCGACCACCGUGUGCUUCAUCCCGCCCGCUUCAUCCAUCCAUGGUCGCUACUACUUUCCUGCUUCAUCUCUAUGCUUCAUCCCGGCGAUGCUUCAGUGCAGCACGAUGGAGGAGGCUGGAGGCGGCGCCACUUGCCAUACUGUCGCGACGCAGCACUCAAGGGAGGCAGGCGCCGCGUCACCGCCGGUGUGCUAUGCUGCAAUUAAGUGGGCGUUGCUGGCAGCGAUGCGGCAAUGA